rnacentral:rRNA from 1 species
AUUGAACGCUGGCGGCAGGCCUAACACAUGCAAGUCGAGCGGAAGAAGGGAGCUUGCUCCUGGAUUCAGCGGCGGACGGGUGAGUAAUGCCUAGGAAUCUGCCUGGUAGUGGGGGAUAACGUCCGGAAACGGGCGCUAAUACCGCAUACGUCCUGAGGGAGAAAGUGGGGGAUCUUCGGACCUCACGCUAUCAGAUGAGCCUAGGUCGGAUUAGCUAGUUGGUGGGGUAAAGGCCUACCAAGGCGACGAUCCGUAACUGGUCUGAGAGGAUGAUCAGUCACACUGGAACUGAGACACGGUCCAGACUCCUACGGGAGGCAGCAGUGGGGAAUAUUGGACAAUGGGCGAAAGCCUGAUCCAGCCAUGCCGCGUGUGUGAAGAAGGUCUUCGGAUUGUAAAGCACUUUUAGUUGGGAGGAAGGGCAGUAAGUUAAUACCUUGCUGUUUUGACGUUACCGACAGAAUAAGCACCGGCUAACUUCGUG